rnacentral:rRNA from 1 species
GACGAACGCUGGCGGCGUGCUUAACACAUGCAAGUCGAACGGUGAGGCCCUUCGGGGUACACGAGUGGCGAACAGGUGAGUAACACGUGGGUGAUCUGCCCUGCACUUCGGGAUAAGCCUGGGAAACUGGGUCUAAUACCGGAUAGGACCACUGCCUGCAUGGGUGGUGGUGGAAAGCUUUUGCGGUGUGGGAUGGGCCCGCGGCCUAUCAGCUUGUUGGUGGGGUGAUGGCCUACCAAGGCGACGACGGGUAGCCGGCCUGAGAGGGUGAUCGGCCACACUGGGACUGAGAUACGGCCCAGACUCCUACGGGAGGCAGCAGUGGGGAAUAUUGCACAAUGGGCGCAAGCCUGAUGCAGCGACGCCGCGUGAGGGAUGACGGCCUUCGGGUUGUAAACCUCUUUCAGCACCGACGAAGCGCAAGUGACGGUAGGUGCAGAAGAAGGACCGGCCAACUACGUGCCAGCCGCCGCGGUAA